UAAGUAAUUCAAAUAUAUAGAUUUGCAAUAAACUUCAAAAGAUAGUACGUCUUGUACGUACUUACACAUACCUAUACAACAAUAUUCUAAAUAUGUGUACACAAUUGUUCAAAAAGUACUCUUACAAUAGUUCAAUAUAUUCUAGCAAAGAAUAUAUUUCACAAAAUCAAACAUAAUGUAUUCAAACUUUUACAAUAGUUCAAAAACUCUUUAUCA
rnacentral:lncRNA from 1 species